rnacentral:lncRNA from 1 species
GUAUGAACCUACAAUCAACCCUGUCCUUUUGUGUCCCCAAGAUAUGCUUUUUGAGGGCAGGACAUGUGCACAUCCACAAACCCAAACAUAGCUGUCAAGCAUCUCCAGUCCCAAUCUCACAGGAGACAGCUCGUAGGAACACCAUGGGGCUUACAAAGGAUUUUCAGGCCCAGAAACCAGUGUUAUAAAUAUAUAUUUAUGAAACACCAGAGCUAUAAUCAAAUGUAUACAAGAACUAGAACUUAAGAACUCAGUGAACUGAGACAACUGAGAGUUUAAAGCAUCAGUAGAAAAUUUCACUGGAUGUUUAUCAGUCAGCAAUAUUGAUGAAAUACUUGAAUGAUUCCUACAUCUAACUUAUGGAGUACAUGAAGCUGCAGCAAGGCUUAAUUUUGUGCAGGAAUGCCAACCCAAUUCCUUCUACCAACCCUCUCUAUGAAGAGGAGUGAUCGGGCAAAUCUCUUGAGAAAAGGAGACCUAACAACUCCUUACCCAUAUUGCCAUGGAGACACCCACACAAACAGAGCACCUCCUUCUUCCAGAGUCUCCAGUCAUUCCCGGCUCCAGGGCCAUACAGUGAGAGACGGAGCACACCAGAAGUUCAGGAGAGACCCUCCCAGACUCCAUGGAUAACCCUCCAAGGCCAGGGAUGUAUAUCAGCUUCCCCUGGGACAAAGAUCUUCACCCUCUGCCCUUAGGCCUCAAGAUUCAGCUAAGUUCAGGAUCCGGCCCACAGUCUUAUCCUGUAAUAUACUGUGAGUAAUAUUGUAGGCAGCCCUGUCCCCUACUACUCCUGACUGUCCCUCUGUCAUUGUCUUACCUUGUCUGACUGUGACCAGAGUGUUGAUGAAAGAUGUCACCCUCAACAGCUCCAGGUCAUGGACCAGCAUUGCACUUGCGACUACCUGACUGAAAUAAGACAGGAAUGUAAGUUAGGUUUGCUUACAAAGGUGAUAUCAUAAUGCUGUAUGAAUGAGAGAAUGGAAGAAAAUAAAUGAGAAAGCUAAGGUAUAAAUGUUAAAUGA